rnacentral:lncRNA from 1 species
UCAAACAUGAGGACGAAGAGAACCGUGAACUUCAUACAAUUUUCUAGCAACGGUACACCAAAGUGAUCCACUGCAGAAUUUGUGUGUGUAUCUUUCUAUGUAGCUUUCUUGGUUUGCUUUCUUUUCUUCUUAUUUACGUUCUUGCGGUUGGUACAAGAAAUCAACAUCCUUACAAACUGCUUUAACGAUAAUGCUCUUCUUCACCUAUUAGUGUCUAACGCACAUGCAUUUACCACAUUACUAUGUUGCAAACAUAGCAUAUAUUAAUGUGCUGCCAAGCUUUAAUUGGCAAGUCAAAUUUCAGCGGUCCACUAUAGUGUGGUUAGUCGGUGUUAGCAAUGAAAUGAUACACACUUCGUGAGCUACUAUGCUACAACGUUUACCUUUUUGGUACAAUUAUUUUAUCUGAAAUUGAUUAAUUAAUUAGUGGGUUUCAUCCUCAACUUCCAUUCAUUAUAUUUAUGCUCCAUUGACUCGAUAAAGCAUGCCACUUUCUAAAUUAUUUUCUUUUGUUUUUUCUUGGUCUCCAGUUAGCAAUCAAGGGUGAAAUUAAUUUUUGAUAUUAUUCACACGGCACUAGAGCUGCAAUACCACCAAUCAUAUAUUUCUUGUGCUAUUUUAUAAUGUUUGAGUUGCAUGGCAUUAAAAUUUGUGAUAUUUAUCCCACAACAAUAUUUGAUUAUUUGUGGUCAUGUAUGACCUUGAUUCCAAGAAAGGAAUUGCCGUCAAAUUAUUUAGUUUUUUUGUUUGUUGUAGAUGCAUUGUGGUAAGAUGUGUUUGAACAAUACUCAAUAAGUGUGGCGGCGUUGAAUCAGUGGAUUACUGGUUAAAUAAAAAUAUAUGCAUGAUUACAUAUUAAAAUAGGCACACAAUUAUAACCAUAGUCGAUUUGGUUCUUCCUAAGUUUUAAUCGUGAGAGUCACUAAAAUUUUAAAACCUAGUACUAUGUUCACACAUUUAAAGUUAUAUACUUUUUCUAUACAAUUAAUCAAACAUAAUUAUACCCUUUUUACUUAUUUUCAAAUACAAAAAACUGUGGUUGUAAGUUUAUGACAGUAAUCAUUUCAAAACCUAAAACAAAUUGCAUCAUUUCUCUGAUCUUCAAUAAAUAAUAUGGUAUUUUUACUAACAUAGUGCAACACAAUUGACAAAUAACAAGACGUCGAGCAUGUGAUUUUGUGCAGAAUGCAAUAUAUACAACAAAAAAAUAAUAAUAUAACAUUCAAAGUUUUGGUCAAAUAUUGUAUUGCAGAGACAAGGACAGUGUGAGGCGCAAAGUGGUGAACGACCGGAGAAAGACAUCCUAAGAACGAUAGCGGCGAGUGCAGGGUGCCUGAGUCCAGAGUAAACACCAUAGCAACGAUCAACUAUUUAUGUAACCUAUAUACCUUUUUUUUUUUUAGGAAAUGUAACCUAUAUACCUAUUUGCGGAAAAUGUGUCCC